rnacentral:lncRNA from 1 species
CUGCUACUUUGCAAUCUAUCAGAUUUCAUGCAGUCCAGCCAAGAUGUGAUUUAGCUAACAAGUAUUCAAGUAUAAGGAGGCCAAGAGAUAGGUACUUGCUGUUCUCAGUUCUGGAUCCAGGUCUGCAGAGAUCUUGCAGCUUCCAUUUUGCCCUUUGGACCCUGGCCAUCAUGUAAAGACCUGCUAUCAUGCUGGAGGAGAGGCCAUGUGAAGAGAGUCCCCUGGAGGAUGAGAGAGAAGCCAGGCAGAGAAGGACUGAAGAGCCCCAGCCAGCAGCCAGCACUGAAUCCCAGACCUGUGAGUGAGGCCACCUUGGAUCCUCA